rnacentral:lncRNA from 1 species
UCAUAGGAUAAGAUCUAGAUAUGCAGACCAGAGCUAUAAUAAUGCGUGAUAUUAUGGAAGUAGCAGGAUAUUAAGAGGCAGACAAAGAUGUAUGUCAGGAGGUGAAUAAAUAAAGACAGUGAACCAUUCCUUCUACUCUCAGAAGUAAACAAAGCUGGUCAUUAAAGAGAGAUGUGAUCUCACUGUGUUGCCCAGGCUGAUCUCAAAUUCCUGGCCUCCAGCUAUCCUCCUGUCUUGACCUCCCAAAGUGUUGGGUUUACAGCAACUUGCAACAGAUAGCACUGAGUCUAUAUGAAAGUUUUCAGCAAGUGAUCCACCAAAGUGAGUACACCAAGCCGUCUUGUAGGAUUACACAUGAAUCGUAUAUGUGAGGCACUCUAUACCUUCUUCUUUUUUUUUUACCAAAGUCACCUUCAUAAUGGAUGAUAACACAGAACAAGGCAUAACAAGUACUGUUUUUAAAGGAGUUACAUUCAAAUGAGGGAAGAUGUACAAUGAAAACAUG